AGUGAACGCUGGCGGCAGGCCUAACACAUGCAAGUCGAACGGCAACACAGUAAGAGUUUGCUCUUACGGGUGGCGAGUGGCGGACGGGUGAGGAAUACAUCGGAAUCUUCUUUUUCGGGGGGGAUAACGUAGGGAAACUUACGCUAAUACCGCAUAUGAUCUACGGGUGAAAGCAGUGGAUCUUCGCAGCUUGCGUGAUUGAAUGAGCCGAUGCCGGAUUAGCUAGUUGGGUGGGUAAGGGCCCACCAUGGCGACGAUGCGUAGCUGAUCUGAGAGGAUGAUCGGCCACACUGGAACUGAGACACGGUCCAGACUCCUACGGGAGGCAGCAGUCGGGAAUAUUGGGCAAUGGGCGCAAGCCUGACCCAGCCAUGCCGCGUGAGUGAAGAAGGCCUUCGGGUUGUAAAGCCCUUUUGUUAGGAAAGAAAAGCUGUAGAUUUAUACCCCGCUGUUCUGACGGUACCCAGUGAAUAAGCACCGGCUAACUACGUG
rnacentral:rRNA from 1 species